rnacentral:tRNA from 1 species
GCAGGUGUGCUGGAAUAGGCAGACAGGCACGUUUGAGGGGCGUGUGUCCAAGGACGUAUGGGUUCAAGUCCAUCACCUGCACCA